rnacentral:rRNA from 1 species
AUACGUAGGUGACAAGCGUUAUCCGGAUUUACUGGGCGUAAAGGGCGUGUAGGCGGUCUUGCAAGUCAGAAGUGAAAUUCCUGAGCUCAACUCGGGCGCUGCUUCUGAAACUGCAGGACUUGAGUGCUGGAGGGGAUAGCGGAAUUCCUAGUGGAGCGGUAAAAUGCGCAGAUAUUAGGAAGAACACCGGUGGCGAAGGCGGCUAUCUGGACAGUAACUGACGCUGAGGCGCGAAAGCGGGGGGAGCAAACAGGAUUAGAUACCCUGGUAGUCCACGCCGUAAACGAUAAAUACUAGGUGUAGGGGGUAUCGACUCCCUCUGUGCCGCAGUUAACACAAUAAGUAUUCCGCCUGGGGAGUACGGCCGCAAGGUUGAAACUCAAAGGAAUUGACGGGG